GGGGAGCUGAUGGCAGAAGCACACCACACGUGGAGUUUAAUUAUUGGCUUUCUUCCUUAACAGAGUACAUUGGCUGACCUUAAUGCAAUUAAUUAGGGCUUAAUCAACUUCUGGUGGCUCUGCACGGCACACAGUGAUUCCUGCCUUUCCAGGAGGGUUUAUAAGAAGUUAAAGCGGUAGAGGGGAGGGUGUGGUGUUGUUUGUGGGUUUUGUGGGGCUGUGCUGAUAAGUAAAGUUAGUCAGGAAUUUGGGUUGAAUUUGUGUCUUCCCGGGCUGGGCUUGUUGUUUGACAUGCUAGUAAAGGCAGGGGAGAGCAGGGAAACUUUUGCCAAGAGAAGUUGUACUCCGGUGGGAUGCUGCCUUGGGAAGGGACAACCCUGCUGCAUCCAAACCUGAGCCCUCUAUGGCAAAUUCUCUGCCACCAAACUCCAGUGAGGACCUGUGGGAGACACUCCACUGCUGCCAGCUGGCCUUGGUUGCUGUGGGAAGGAUUAAUGGCACAUCCAGGUUUUGAAGCUCACUUCCUUCUUUCCCUCUGUCUUGUACUCCUGGUUUUAUUUCAUACAUCUCUCCUUGAAAAUCGCUUGUUCUAGAUUAGGUUAGAGACUGGAGCUAUCUUCCUUUUAUUUAUUAGGGUAAUUAUACCUAAUGAUUCACAUUCUCGGGGAGAGUAAUUGCUCCCAAAUACAGCGCUGGCAGUGUUCUUACCCAGCCAGGGUGCAGUGAUUCACAAACACAUCUUUUCCUACAAUUCAUCAGCUGAUGAUCCCACAAUUGCUGACUUGGUUUGGAGGCAGUUCAGGAGCGAUGGCAGACCCGGCGCUGCCCUCACGGUGCUGGGUUCUCUCCGGUGGUGGUCACUUGUGAGUGUCUCCUCCCUGCCACCCUAAUGCCCGACACCAUUCCCUUCCUGGGUGGGUUUUGCUGGGGAUUUUGGGUGGGUCAAGCCCCUUAAGCUGUGGGAUUUGUGCUUUUUAUUUAGAGUCACAGUGCCUGAUCUGGCAAAUGCUGUGGCACAGCCUGGCCUAGGGAAAGCCAGGGCUGUCCCCCUCUACAGUGGGAAUGACCCCUCCAGCCUCCCAAAACGUGGCAGAGAUGUGGUUUGACAGCUCUUGGGGAAGAAAGCUAGAAGAACCAUCCCUUCUCGGUCUGGGCUGCACUGCAUGAGCCUGCACCCACCACCCGUUCUCUCCUGCCCCAGGCACUGCUCCAGCUCUCCCAUCCCGCGGAUGCCAGAAUUGCUGCCGGGGUGUGAGCAGAAAGGCAGGAGGAGAGGAGGUGGCACAAACAGCCCUUUCUGCUGGCCACCACUUGGCUUCAUCCCCAGCACUGCUUGGGUGGGCUCCCAGGGGAGCCUGCCCUGGUUGCCACCCCCGAACAUGGGGUUGUGCCAGUGCUGCUCUGUGAGCACUCACUGGAGGAACAGCUCCCUGGUUGCCUUCCACCCACGUCCACCCUCUUAGAGGAGGAUCCACACUCCUUCAUGCUAGUGCCUGGCCCCCUGUCAAGAGCUCCUGCAGGCAGGCAGGAGCUGCUCCUAAUGGGCUGCCAGGGGAUUUGGGAUCUGACAGCUGGGUGCUGACAGCUCCGUGCAACUGCUCGCUCCAGCUGCUGGGCCCUCCUCUCCCUGGUCAGAUGGAGAAGGAUCCCUGACCUCCACAGGGAGGAGGCUGGCUCCUUUUUCUCCCUUUACCAGUUGUUUGCGAUGGUGCUCAAGGGCUGUGGUACCCACUGCCUUGGUGGGGCUGCUAAAGCCUUGGGGGACAAUGGUGGUACAAGCAGAGGGUUCCCAGGCUGGAGGAGCUCCUGCAGGGUGAUGCUCCCACAUGGGCACUGUGAGAGGGGAGCAGGUCCGGGUGUAGCACAGAGCAAGUCUUGUCAAAGCUCCUAGCAGGGAGUUGGGGUGGGAGGCCCUUGGUAGCUGGGAGAGCUGGGAGCAAGUGCUGACACCUCCUGGGGCUCCCUCUGCAGCGGCUCUGGACCUCCCAGGCUUUCUCCUGGCUGACACAUCACCUCUCUUCUCUGUUUGAUGCAGGGCUCCUGUGUCUCCCCACAGACCCCAUACAGGGGCUGGGGGGAAUCCUGGGGGCUCCCUGGGGUCCGGCUCUGUGCCAGCGGGGGCCGUGGCAGCCACUGCAGAGGGACUGUCCCGUCGUCCUCCAGCAUGGAGCAUCUCACAGCCUGCCGUCUUGUAUGGCUUUUUAUUCCUAUGUGAUUAUACAUCCCACUUCAUAUAGGGAUUGAAGCCGUGCAAUACGCCGGGAUCCUACGGCGGAGAGCAGCCCCUGUGCCACGGGAGCCGGCCUCGGAGGAGCCACCAGAGCUGUCCCCUGGGGUGCUGGAGGAGGAUUGCUGGCCUCAGCCUGGACUCCAUCCUGUAUCCCAGGCUCCCCAGCCCUCUUGGGAUGCAGGUGAGGGGUGCCAAACUGCUUUGGGGUGAGGCCAGCACAAGCCCACUCCUUGCAUUGCACCCCCUUUCAAGGAUGAGCUUGGUUCUGAACCACAUCUGCUGUGGAGAGCCCCAGUGACUACACUGGUGGGCUCAUCCCUGGGGAAUCUGCUGUUUUGGUUUUGUCCUCGACUAUCCUGAGAGAUGGGUGACAGUCUCUGGCAGCAGCUGGGUGCAGGCACUGCCAGCAGCACAGGGGAGGAGGAAGAGGAAGAAGAGGAAAAAGAUGCUGAGGAAUGCCCACACAGCAAGGGCUGCCCCAGGCACGAUGCUCUUCAAGGUUUCUCAAGAGGCCUCAGCCACUCUUUCAAGGUUUGUGUUAUAUCUGUCACAUUAGUGAAAACAUUGAAAUCGUGGCU